rnacentral:rRNA from 1 species
UUGAACGCUGGCGGCAUGCUUUACACAUGCAAGUCGGACGGCAGCAUGGAGUGCUUGCACUCUGAUGGCGAGUGGCGAACGGGUGAGUAAUAUAUCGGAACGUGUCCAAUAAUGGGGGAUAACUAGUCGAAAGAUUAGCUAAUACCGCAUACGCCCUGAGGGGGAAAGUGGGGGAUCUUCGGACCUCACGUUAAUGGAGCGGCCGAUAUCUGAUUAGCUAGUUGGUGGGGUAAAAGCCUACCAAGGCGACGAUCAGUAGCUGGUCUGAGAGGAUGAUCAGCCACACUGGGACUGAGACACGGCCCAGACUCCUACGGGAGGCAGCAGUGGGGAAUUUUGGACAAUGGGCGAAAGCCUGAUCCAGCCAUGCCGCGUGAGUGAAGAAGGCCUUCGGGUUGUAAAGCUCUUUCGCAAGGAAAGAAAACUUAUCUACUAAUACUAGAUGAGGAUGACGGUACCUUGAUAAGAAGCACCGGCUAACUACGUG